rnacentral:rRNA from 1 species
CGGAGAGAGGUAGCUUGCUACUGAUCUUAGCGGCGGACGGGUGAGUAAUACUUAGGAAUCUGGCUAUUAGUGGGGGACAACAUUUCGAAAGGGAUGCUAAUACCGCAUACGUCCUACGGGAGAAAGCAGGGGAUCUUCGGACCUUGCGCUAAUAGAUGAGCCUAAGUCGGAUUAGCUAGUUGGUGGGGUAAAGGCCUACCAAGGCGACGAUCUGUAGCGGGUCUGAGAGGAUGAUCCGCCACACUGGGACUGAGACACGGCCCAGACUCCUACGGGAGGCAGCAGUGGGGAAUAUUGGACAAUGGGGGGAACCCUGAUCCAGCCAUGCCGCGUGUGUGAAGAAGGCCUUAUGGUUGUAAAGCACUUUAAGCGAGGAGGAGGGUACUGGUAUUAAUACUACCAGGUACUGGACGUUACUCGCAGAAUAAGCACCGGCUAACUCUGUGCCAGCAGCCGCGGUAAUACAGAGGGUCCGAGCGUUAAUCGGAUUUACUGGGCGUAAAGCGUGCGUAGGCGGCUAAUUGAGUCGGAUGUGAAAUCCCCGAGCUUAACUUGGGAAUUGCAUUCGAUACUGGUUAGCUAGAGUGUGGGAGAGGAUGGUAGAAUUCCAGGUGUAGCGGUGAAAUGCGUAGAGAUCUGGAGGAAUACCGAUGGCGAAGGCAGCCAUCUGGCCUAACACUGACGCUGAGGUACGAAAGCAUGGGGAGCAAACAGGAUUA